GUUGUCUAGAGAUCAGACAUUGGCCAGGAAUAAGGACGGAAUCAGCAGCCUGCUAGCCUUAGCCUUUAGCCUCUCCAGCACACCACUGUGCUUUCCCCUCUUCUGCCUCCGCUCACAGCGCUUCCUUUUGCCCGUUAUCCACUGCGCUCUCUCCUCCAAGACCGUAGCAGCUGCAGUCUGCCAAGCAUAGCUCUGAGUCUGUGGUCUACUGUUGUUGUAGUCGAACUGUGCCUUAAGCUCAGAAGUUCUGUGCGGUUAUAUGCUACUCGCUUACAGCGGGCAAAGUCAGAAUCAGCAUUACAAACAUUAAAAACACUGGAAUAGACGGGUUUUCUGGGAGCGUGAGUAGCCGCUGCUCUACUGUGCGCCGCCAUUUUUGAGGACAGGACAUACCUUAUUGUAACCACUGACUCAUUUAAAAUAGUUUAGGACAGCCAAGCUACGGACCAGUUAGUAGGUUCGGCAGGGUUACAAUAGAAAGCGAGGCGAAUACGGAAUGAAAUGGCUGGAGACAGGAAUUUGAGCAGCAACGAUUAUUAUUGUCAUGACCCUGUGCCCUCUCGGCUUACUCUGUAUGGCUACAAGUGUUUUUGUUGUGUUGUGUCUCUCUCUCCCCUCCCGCACACUGCGCUCUACCGGGGCGGAGUCAUGACGGCUCCAGCCCCUGGCUCGGACACCUGCAAGCAAUCAUAUCAUCACCACGCUCACUUCUUAAGGCGGCUGCUGAGAGUGCUUCUUCGCUGGAUUAUUGUGUAACACUCAUUUCUCGCCAGCCUGAGGACCGCCGUGUGGUGAGCUAAAAGCCGGAGUCCGAGCUAACCUGAGCUUCAGUGAAGGAUUGUGUACAUAGCCCGUUCCCUUCCUGUGCCUGUGUUCCCCGGAGACCCUCUUCCUGUGCCCCCUCACCUGUAUAUAUCCGCACCUGGUGUCUGUGUGUAAAUAAAUUGUGAACUUU